GGAGAGAGGACAUGUCAGCCGUCAGUGAUUUAUUUUACCCAUUGUUUUUUUAAGUGUCGUUUGACGUGCGCGAUCCUCGACCUCAUUAUCGUGUUUGCUAAGGCUUCGGCGUGGCCAGGAGGUAAUCAGGUGACAGCAAAAGAAAAUAACGACAAGAGUUUCAAAGAUGACAAAAACAACAGGACAGCAUAUCAACAACAAUGACUACCACCACCACCAACAACAACAACAACAACGACAACAACAACAGCUUUCACAGAGAUUCGGUGAAUGUUCUCGUCUCCGAUCCAGAUGCCAUGACGAGGAGAACGCACUGAUUGUAAACAAGCCUUCUCUUCAGGCACAACGAAGGUAUGGGU